rnacentral:rRNA from 1 species
GGUGAGUAACACGUGGAUAACCUACCUAUAAGACUGGGAUAACUUCGGGAAACCGUAGCUAAUACCGGAUAAUAUUUUGAACCGCAUGGUUCAAAAGUGAAAGACGGUCUUGCUGUCACUUAUAGAUGGAUCCGCGCUGCAUUAGCUAGUUGGUAAGGUAACGGCUUACCAAGGCAACGAUGCAUAGCCGACCUGAGAGGGUGAUCGGCCACACUGGAACUGAGACACGGUCCAG